rnacentral:tRNA from 1 species
AGUUAAUGAGCUUGUUAAAGCAUAUAUUUUGAAAAUAUAAGAAAGAAAGAAAUUUUCUAUUAACUU